UAUUAUUAUUAUGUAUCUUUACAUUUGUUAUUCUUAACCUACAUAAUAAUAUAUAAACCCCUCUUAUUACUUGCAUUUUAAGUUAUAGUGUUUGUUAGCUCGCACUAUGCUCAACUUAAAUCACUCAAACUCAUCAUACAAUGUAGGGGUGGGCAUCAAAACCAGAAUACCGAAACCGUCCUGAAAUCGUGUCAGUCUCGUGUCGUCCCAUUUGGUGUUGAAGUGUAAACGGGAUGAUACCAUGUUAUCCCAUUAUUGUUUGGCACAACACCGGUUCUAGAUUUGUGAUCCUGUUUGGGGCUAUACUGUACCGAACAGUACCAGGUAUAUAAUAAACCCCAAUUUCAAAUUCCUCCUCUCCCACGAACAUUUCGACUCCAGCUUUGUUUCCUCUGUCUCCCUUCUCUUCUCCUUUCCUUACCUCUAUUCUCCUCCUCCUCCUCCUCCUCCUCCUCUCUCUCUCUCUCUCUCUCUCUCUCUCUCUCUCCAAAGUGUAUAAAAUCGGUGGAAAAGGAAAGCCACAAAGUUUGUCCGAGUUUUUGUGUAGAAAAAUCAGGGGGUUGAAGAUCGUAUUGUUGGUACCGGAGCUUUGGGAGGCGGCAUCUUCUUCAAACCUGUUUCCCUCUGCUACCGCUAUUUUAGUCCGAUCUCAGGAAGUAGUGUAUUUUGGGGAAUUUGACACUGCAAAGAGAAACAUGCAGCACAUAGCACCAAUACCAUACCAUUAGUUACUUUUACAAACUACACCAACUUGAAGCGUAAAUCAA